rnacentral:rRNA from 1 species
AUGAACGCUGGCGACAGGCCUAACACAUGCAAGUCGAGGGGCAUCGGGGUGUAGCAAUACGCUGCCGGCGACCGGCGGAUGGGUGAGUAACGCGUAUGCAACCUGCCUUCAGCAGGGGGAUAGCCCGUUGAAAGACGGAUUAAUACCCCGUAACACAGGGGCUCCGCAUGGAGAUUAUUGUUAAAGGGAUGCUUCCUUCGGGGAGUAUUCCGGCUGAAGAUGGGCAUGCGUUCCAUUAGGUAGUUGGUUGAGGUAACGGCUCACCAAGCCUGCGAUGGAUAGGGGAACUGAGAGGUUGGUCCCCCACACUGGUACUGAGACACGGACCAGACUCCUACGGGAGGCAGCAGUGAGGAAUCUUGGUCAAUGGACGGAAGUCUGAACCAGCCAUGUCGCGUGAAGGAGGACGGCCCUAAGGGUUGUAAACUUCUUUUGCAGGGGAAUAAAGUAUUCCACGAGAUGGGAUAUUGCAAGUACGCUGCGAAUAAGGAUCGGCUAACUCCGUG